CAGCAGCCGCGGUAAAACAGAGGGUGCGAGCGUUAAUCGGAUUUACUGGGCGUAAAGCGUGCGUAGGCGGCUUUUUAAGUCGGAUGUGAAAUCCCUGAGCUUAACUUAGGAAUUGCAUUCGAUACUGGGAAGCUAGAGUAUGGGAGAGGAUGGUAGAAUUCCAGGUGUAGCGGUGAAAUGCGUAGAGAUCUGGAGGAAUACCGAUGGCGAAGGCAGCCAUCUGGCCUAAUACUGACGCUGAGGUACGAAAGCAUGGGGAGCAAACAGGAUUAGAUACCCCAGUAGUCCCUGUCUCUUAUCC
rnacentral:rRNA from 1 species